AAGCUCCUUCCGAAGAAAUCCCACAAAAUAAAGUCUUUUGCAAUCCAUUCAUCUGUUAAUCUUUCUUUCUAUAACAAAAAGGAAGGAUUUUUCGAUUGUAUAUUAGAGAGAGAUAAUGGAGGAGAUGGCUGGUGCUGCAUCUGCGUCAUCUAUCCAUAACACUGUUUCUUCUUCUUCAUCAUCAUCAUCAUCUUCAUUUGGUUCUUCCAUAUUCACCAAUUAUCCUCUCAUUGCUGCUUUCAGUGCCUUCGCUAUUGCCCAAUCUACCA
rnacentral:misc_RNA from 1 species